GAAAAAUUUUUAGGAAUAAUUAGUGCUUAGAUUCUCAGAUUGGUGUUUCGAACAUUUGAAGAAUGUCUGGCAAGGCGAGUGUGUGUGACUCAACCAGUGGAAGCGACUCUGAGAUGGAGUCUGAGAUGGAGUCCCCAGUAACUAGCUCUACAUCGGCACAGCGCAAGGAGCAGAAGCACUGCUGCUAUGUUAUUUAUGUAACAAAUCUGAAUCGGAAGACCACCAGAGCGGAGCUGGAGUCUCAUUUCGCAUUGGGAAACAAAAUUAAAUUCAUAAGAAUGCCGAAACGUGCGAGCGGAGGAUUUGCCUAUAUAGGCAUAACCGAUUUCAAGAGCAUGAUGCGUGCCCUAAUGAUGAACAACACAAUACUGCUGGGCUAUCGCAUAAAGGUGCGAAGUGCGCCCCAAUGGAGCAGAUCGCAAUAUUUGGCGUCAAACCGACAGAGAAGACGCAUUUUCGCCUCCAUGCCACAUAAAAAUACACGUUUCAAGGCGGCCUAUAUGAGGAGCGGCAAGUUCUACGACAGGCAGUACGAGGUGGAGAAAGCCCGCUAUCUGCAGUCAUGCAAGCGACGCCGAAAUCUUUUGAAGGGAGGCAAAAUCAAAAAUCGUAACAAAUAGAAAGCGAUACAGGCAUUCGAUUACAUCAUUUGCAAACAAAAUUAAUUUAAGUAAUUCUAACACUCCAUUUGCAAACCAAAUUACAACAACAAACUGUAAGAAAACCUGGAGAUAUCUCAGCCAUAUCAUGGUUAAACUGUAUGAGUUACUGAGGAUGCAUUCAAACGCAUACCUCCUUACCAAAUAAACUGAGAAUAUAAUUAACUGCAAUAGAUAUCUAGUUAUAAGUAUGAGCGAAGAUGUGAUAAAAUCUACUUUUUAGAUGAACUCAUUUCAAUUAAACAUUUACGGACGAAAUUUCCAGUAGUUUUCUCAACAAAGAUGAGCUAACGCAGCAGACAAUCAGACGUAUAUAAUCAUGUUUGAACUUGAUUUUUCAGAUAUUCAAUCUAACAUAUAUUUCAAUUCACUUUCCGAUCCAUGUACCAUAAGCACUUCGAAUCAACCUAAUCUAUUUGAUGAUGCAUUAAAUCUAAUCUAUUUAAUCUAAGUAUCUAUCUAAUAAAUUGUGAGGGC